CUAAGGGGAGGAAAAGAAACUAACCAGGAUUCCCACAGUAGCUGCGAGCGAACAGGGAGUAGCCCAGCACCGAAUCUCCCGGCCGUUGUGUCGGUGAGAAAUGUGGUGUUCGGGAGCGGUCGAUCCCGCGACGCGCUAGAGCGUUCCAAGUCCUCUUGAAAGGGGCCACGGCCCGUAGAGGGUGCCAGGCCCGUAAGGACGACGUGCGCGCCGGGGUGGCCGACUCCUCAGAGUCGGGUUGCUUGAUAAUGCAACCCUAAGCAGGUGGUAAACUCCAUCUAAGGCUAAAUAUGACCACGAGGCCGAUAGCGAACAAGUACCGUGAGGGAAAGUUGAAAAGAACUUUGGAGAGAGAGUUCAAG
rnacentral:rRNA from 1 species